rnacentral:lncRNA from 1 species
AAAACACUGGUGACUCAUUUUGUGUGGGUGAUUCUCUUUAGUCCAGUUUCUGAAUAACUGAGCUCUUACUACCUUAUAGUCAUCCUUAAUAUUUGACCACAACUGGUAUCACUCAGCCUGCUUAUUCACUCCACUUGCCAUUCCUUAUUCUGAGUGAUUUGGGGUUAUUUAAGAAAAUUAGAUUCAUCUAUAUUUGCUACAGCUGAGGCUACUCAAAAUAAUUUGAGCUGAUGUCAAUAAUGAAAUGGAACUCCAAGAAAUUGCUUUAGUUUAUAUUAUUCUCAUAGAAGACUUCCUCAUAAUCCAAUUUAAAAAAUGAGAGUUUCCCUGCACAAGCUCUUGCUUUGCCUGAUGCCAUCCAUGUAAGACGUGACUUGCUCCUCCUUGCCUUCUACCAUGAUUGUGAGACUUCCCCAGCCACGUGGAACUAUUAUGCUCCAAGACACUGAAUCUGAAAGGAUGCAUCCAGUCUUGCCAAGUGGUUUCACUACCAAGGCCAGUCUCCAUCUAUGAUAGACCCAAGGAAGAUCAUUUACAACUAGAAUCUAGUCAUUUAGGAGAUUGUGUGCUCCCUGGAUGGGCCAUCUGCACUGGUGUGAGGUUUAUCUCAUUGAAGGGAAAACCAAAGGAAUCUUCUUGAAUAUCAGCACCAGGAAGAGCAGUACAAACUGGAGAAGCUGGGGUCAUUGUUGAGAGACAAAAUGAGAUCAUGUCUGGGAAAAUACUUCUAAAUUAUCAACUCCCUUUCUAUGGAAGAGGAUGACCAAAGAAGGAUGCACUCCUUGUCUGGAAUUAUGCCAGAGGUCUUAAAAUGCUCAGAAAUGAAAUCAGCCUUCUUCCCUGUCCUAAGAGGCUCAGGUUUUCGGCAAGUAACUCAUAAAAUUAAUGCUCCACUGAAAAUAAAAUCUGAUUUGAGUAGUAUCAGCACUUAGAAGACCUUUGGAGGCCGGGGGUAUUUUCUCUUUUACAAUGCUGUGAACAACAUUCACUCCUGGAAAACACUCCAAUGUCUUACAUCUUGAGGCUGUGGGGAUUUUUUUUUCUUUUGGUUUAAAUGUUGCCUUUCCUAUCUUUCUGCAUAUCAAUUUUUCCCCUGCCCAAGUCACAGGCUUGGUAGUAACCAUCAUGUUUACUGCUGUUCCUUCACAUGUGGUUCUCUGAGGCUUCUGAGCACCAGAAUUUUAUUAAACAGAGCUACUCACACCAUAAAGAUGGAAUUCUGCCAGAUCUGAAUCAUAGAAUAACACCAGAAUUGACUUCAGAAAUCAUCUUCUCUAAAGAUUUGCAAGAUUUUUAAACAGCACAUGCCUUUGUAAAAUGAAAUCAUCAGUGGAACACCGUAUAUAAAAUAAAAUUAAUAAAAACUACUAUGGCUGGAGAGGUGAAACUCUAACAUAUUACACAGUCUCCUGGGUUUUUUUGCAGAUAUUAAGGAUCCACUGAACCAUUUGAAAACUACCCUAUAUACUCCCCCUUUCCAGUGCUUCAGUCCCUUCUAUAGUAAUCACCACUGGAUUGUUCAGUCUUUCAAUAUUUUCAGUGGUGCCUAUCCUCCCAAGAAAGGCCAUCUUAAUUUGGGACAGCUUUAACUGUCUAUUUGGAAAAUCAUUCUUAUAUUUUAAUGGUCUCCUUGUAACCUCUAUUUAUUGUUACUAGAACAGAACUAGACUGUGCUCUAUUCCAUCUAAGUAUUGGGGUCAAUGAUCAUAUUCCUCCACAAACUUAUAGUUUUUUUACAAACUAAAUAUCCCCUGAUUUUUUCAACUUUAUCACAGUGUGAGAAUAUGUGGGCCUAAUCUCUUUAUUCUAAUUUCUUUCCUUUGAACUUGCUUCACUUUGUCAAUGUCAGUUUUAAUUUGUGUGCCUAGAACUGUAAAAAGUAAUCCCUAUGUUGACUGUAAUCAUCAACUCUUUCACUUUGAACAUUCUACCCCUGUUAAUUUGGCCUAUAAUUGAAUUUGAUUUGGGGAAAACUUGUCGGAGCUUAGCCAACUAAAUCCCCAAUAUCAUCCUUGAAUAUGCUACUGCAGAACCAAAUCUCCCAUAUUACAAACUUUUAAAAUUGUUUUAAUGACUUCAUGUGGUCAUUUUCCUUUGCCAUGGCUUUUAAAGUCACAUGGUUCUAUUAGAAAGAUUUCUAGGUCUCUUGUCAUUUCUAGAAUCUGGUUUGUUGGAUUUGGCAAAUCAAUAUCUGUAUAUUUGUUCACUUUUUAUUCUGUCAAUCGCAAACAUGCCAUCUGCUUAAUAAUUUCCCACAGAUCUUUAUUGAUAUAUAUUUUGUUGGGAAAGAAUUUAUCAUUUUAGAUCCAGAAUAUGUAAUCAUAGCUGUCCAUUUAUAUCUGACCAUAAAGAACUUUCCUACUAUAGAAUUUUUGAGAUUUGGUGAGGGCUAACUAGAAGGCUGAAAGGAUAGGAAAGCUGCUGAGUUUAUUUGGUUACACACCAAUGGUCCUGUAAGUCUGUAAUUUCAAAAAUCUACCCGAAAACAAGGGAUUGUAUCCACUGUUAAAUGGAUGAAGUUUUAAGCAUCAGAAAAUCAGUCUGAAUUUUCAUUAUUCCCUAGAAAUUUUCUCAACUUUGUGAGUUUCAUCCAGGUACUUUGCCGUUCUUGAACAUAUUUUCAUGUGGUUUUAUAAUAUUUAUUCAACAUUAUUUUCCAUUAGUUCUCUAAUUUUAAUUGUUGGUAAGCAUUUCGAUGUGUAGCUAUUACAUGGUGCAGAACUGAUUUAUCCACGUUAAUGUCUGAGGAGACCAUGACCCAUUUUAUCUGCUGCGUGGUCAGCCCUGGUAUUCAUGGCAGGUUGUCUGAAUAUUUCUGAUGAAGUCUUUAAGUACAUGUAAUUCUGAAAACACAUUCCCAUUCAGUAAGACUUAUACAGGAUGGUAAGCCUAACAUGGCAAAAGGUUUCUAAAAAAUUCCAUAAACAUUAAGCAUAUUUAUGUCAUAGCAUUAAGUUUGGUCAAUUUGAAACUUACCGUAUUGUAGUAUAAGAGGCAUUUUGUUUGCUUGUGUUUACUUUCCCAG